UCUCUCCAUAAAAAUGAUGACUUGCCAAAAAAUGGUAACACCUCAGAAACUCAAAACUUGCGUUUGAGAUCCACAAGUUCUGAAAACAGUAGUCAGUCUGAAGAAGGGAAAAAGGUGAACCCUGUUCAACAGGCAGCUUCCACUUCUCGCAGAAGAAAAUGCCCUACGCCAGCAGAUGGCUUAGCACCCAAAAAAUUAAAAUCAGAGAGUGAGGGAAGCAGAUCGCUGCAAAAGGGAAGAAACAGAACUAAAGCACAUCUUGGCAAAGAGGAUGUGAGGACUGCUGGGCCUGCUGGAGGAACAGACAGGAAGACAAGAUCAAGCACGAGAACAAGAAAAUAGCCUUUUAACAGUCACUGAGCCAAUUUGUUAAUCAGUUCAGUAACUGAAAAUGUAAGUUGGUUGCUUUUUUUGUGUGAAUUGAUUUGCACUCAGAUUUUAAGCUUAGAUUUUGUAAAGCAAUUGCUGAAUUAUGCUAUGAUCAAAGUUUAGUUCCUGCCAUGUUUACAGCUAUAGCCUAGCUACUUGGUUUAACAGGUUUCUUUUUGGGCGGUGGUUCCUAAAGGUGCUUGUGCAAAGCUGCAAACCUCAAAAUCCAUCUUUUCCUAAUGGUAUUUAUCCUUUUUUUGUGUGUGUGUGUCAAUCAGUACAGCAGCCAGGAAGCCAUAUUGCUUUACUGCCAGUUUAGUGUUUUCUGCUGCCUUUCUAAAAAGGUUUUUAAGUCUUAUUUUUCAUUCCUGGUCUGUAAAUAUUCUUAAUUUUUAUAGAUGUAUGAGCAGAAUUUCUAUGCUGAGAUUUUUAAUAAGCUGUUUUUAAAAGAACUUAAAUUCAUUGUACUGAAAAGUCAUUAAAUUUGUAAACAAUU